GACAGAGGCCUCAAGCGUUAGGCGGAAUCACUGGGCUUAAAGCGUGUGUAGGCGGACUUCUAAGUGCCUUGUGAAAUCCCACGGCUCAACCGUGGAACUGCUGGGCAUACUGGGAGUCUUGGGCCAUUCAGGGGCAACUGGAACAAGCGGUGGAGCGGUGAAAUGCGUAGAUAUUGGGAAGAACACCAGCGGCGAAAGCGCGCUACUGGGCCAUUACUGACACUCAUGGACGAAAGCUAGGGGAGCGAAAGGG
rnacentral:rRNA from 1 species